UACGGAGGGUGCGAGCGUUGUCCGGAUUCAUUGGGCGUAAAGGGUGCGUAGGUGGCGCCGUAAGUCAGGUGUGAAAUCUCGGGGCUUAACUCCGAAACUGCAUUUGAUACUGCGGUGCUUGAGGACUGGAGAGGAGACUGGAAUUUACGGUGUAGCAGUGAAAUGCGUAGAGAUCGUAAGGAAGACCAGUGGCGAAGGCGGGUCUCUGGACAGUUCCUGACACUGAGGCACGAAGGCCAGGGGAGCAAACGGG
rnacentral:rRNA from 1 species